rnacentral:tmRNA from 1 species
GGGGAUGCAUUGGAUUUGACUGAUGCUGUUUUACAUAUUUGCAAGUAGGUCCACGGGUACCUUUAAACCAGUAAAACAAAUAAAUGCUGAAAAAGAAGCAUUAGUGCCAGCAAUGGCAUACGUUGCUGCUUAAUUAUUAAGUAGCAACAGACAUCAAAGACUCUGCCUGGAGGAUCUUUGUCUAAGUCUUAAUAAAACCAGGAAGAGUGGUUUAAAAGCAGUCGAGUUAAGCCAUUCGGGCAAAUGCCCAAACCUUAGACUUGCGGAGAGAUUAGAAGGUAUUUAGAUCCUUCCUUUUCAAAGAUAAUUCUAAAUAAACUUGUAGAAGGUAUGAAAAAGAGCCUCAACACGUGGGUUCAACUCCCGCCAUCCCUACCA